AACGUAGGAGACAAACGUUAUCCGGAGUUACUGGGCGUAAAGGGCGUGUAGGUGGUAUCGUAAGUCUGGCGUGAAAUUUCUCGGCUUAACCGAGGCAGGUCGUCGGAUACUGCGAGGCUAGAGGACGGUAGAGGCGUGUGGAAUUCCGGGUGUAGUGGUGAAAUGCGCAGAUAUCAGGAGGAACACCGAUGGCGAAGGCAGGUCUCUGGGCCACUACUGACGCUGAGAAGCGAAAGCAUGGGGAGCGAACAGG
rnacentral:rRNA from 1 species